ACGAGGGUGACAGGUGGUGCAUGGUUGUCGUCAGCUCGUGUCGUGAGAUGUUGGGUUAAGUCCCGCAACGAGCGCAACCCUCGCCUCAGUUGCCAGCAUUCGGUUGGGCACUCUAGUGAGACUGCCGGUGACAAACCGGAGGAAGGUGGGGAUGACGUCAAGUCCUCAUGGCCCUUAUGGGUAGGGCUUCACACGUCAUACAAUGGUCGGUACAGAGGGUUGCCAAGCCGCGAGGUGGAGCCAAUCCCUUAAAGCCGAUCGUAGUCCGGAUCGUAGUCUGCAACUCGACUACGUGAAGUCGGAAUCGCUAGUAAUCGCAGAUCAGCAUGCUGCGGUGAAUACGUUCCCGGGUCUU
rnacentral:rRNA from 1 species